rnacentral:rRNA from 1 species
AGAUUGAACGCUGGCGGCAGGCCUAACACAUGCAAGUCGAGCGACAGCACGGGUACUUGUACCUGGUGGCGAGCGGCGGACGGGUGAGUAAUGCCUAGGAAUCUGCCUGGUAGUGGGGGAUAACGCUCGGAAACGGACGCUAAUACCGCAUACGUCCUACGGGAGAAAGCAGGGGACCUUCGGGCCUUGCGCUAUCAGAUGAGCCUAGGUCGGAUUAGCUAGUUGGUGAGGUAAUGGCUCACCAAGGCGACGAUCCGUAACUGGUCUGAGAGGAUGAUCAGUCACACGUGGAACUGAGACACGGUCCAGACUCCGUACGGGAGGCAGCAGGUGGGAAUAGUUGGAACAAGUGGGGACGAAACGUCCUAGGAUCCAGCCAUCGCCGGCGUGGUAGGUAGAAAGGUAGGUUCGUUCGGUAAUUUAGGUAAA